UUUUUUCCAAUAGCUAAAUUAAAGUCAUGAGCAAAGAAGCACUAUAAAUAGACAGUUGCUUCAAAGCAGAGAAAUUCAUCAAAUUCAUUAUCAGUUCUUGUAUUUGUAGCCAUGGGAUUCUUCAAAAUCCUUCUUGUUUUCAUCUUUUGUUCUUUCCCAUGGCCUACUAUUCAAAGUGAUCUCGAGACUUAUAUAGUCCAUGUUGAAUCCCCUGAAAGCCUAAUUACUACUCAAUCAACGUUAACAGAUUUAGACAGCUAUUACCUUUCUUUUUUGCCUAAAACUACUACCGCAAUUAGCUCGAGUGGAAAUGAAGAGGCUGCUACCAUGAUCUAUUCCUAUCACAAUGUGAUGAAAGGCUUUGCAGCAAGAUUAACUGCAGAACAAGUGAAGGAAAUGGAGAAAAAACACGGCUUUGUCUCUGCUCAGAAACAGAGGAUUUUCACCUUGCAUACUACUCAUACUCCAAGCUUUCUUGGUUUGCAACAGAAAACCAUCCUUCUUUUAGUGACGUUGGGAUGCCUCCCCCGCCUGCUAAGUGGAAAGGAGUUUGUGAGUCCAAUUUCAUCAACAAGUGUAACAACAAGCUCAUUGGAGCGAGGUCUUACCAACUUGGUAAUGGUUCCCCGAUAGAUGGUAAUGGACAUGGUACACACACAGCAAGCACAGCUGCGGGAGCCUUUGUGAAAGGUGCUAAUGUAUAUGGCAAUGCUAAUGGAACUGCAGUUGGUGUUGCUCCUCUUGCCCAUAUAGCCAUAUAUAAGGCAUGUAAUUCCAAUGGCAAGUGUCCUGACAGUGAUAUUUUAGCUGCCAUGGAUUCAGCUAUAGAUGAUGGAGUAGAUAUUCUUUCAAUGUCCAUUGGUGGAUCUCCGAGGCCUUUUUAUGAUGUCCCUAUUGCUCUCGGGGCGUACAGUGCAACAGAAAGAGGCAUUUUUGUAAGUUGUGCGGCAGGCAAUUAUGGUCCUUCUAUUGCCUCAGUAAUAAAUGCAGCCCCGUGGAUUCUUACUGUAGGUGCCAGCACACUUGAUAGAAAGAUAAAAGCUACUGUUAAGCUUGGAAAUGGACAGGAAUUUGAAGGAGAAUCUGCUUAUCGUCCACAGAUUCCCAACUCAACAUUCUUCACUCUAUAUGGUGCUGGAAUAAAUGCAAAAGAUCAAUCGGAAACCCCUUAUUGCAAACCAGGGUCACUCAAUGACCCUGCUAUAAGAGGAAAGAUAGUAUUAUGUCUAGCAGGCGGUGGCGUCUCCAGUGUUGAUAAAGGACAAGUUGUGAAGGGUGCUGGAGGUGUUGGCAUGAUUGUCAUCAAACCGUCACAUUAUGGUGUCACUAAAUCAGCUGAUGCUCAUGUUCUUCCAGCAUUGGAUGUUUCAGCUGCAGAUGGAUUAAGAAUUCGUGCUUAUACAAACUCAACAUUAAACCCUGUUGCUACAAUCACAUUCCAAGGAACAAUAAUUGGAGAUAAAAAUGCUCCAAUAAUUGCUGCAUUUUCUUCUCGGGGACCAAGUAUAGCUAGUCCUGGAAUCUUGAAACCUGACAUAAUCGGUCCGGGUGUUAAUAUCCUUGCUGCUUGGCCUACCUCCGUGGAUGACAACAAGAACACCAAAUCCACAUUCAAUAUUAUAUCAGGCACCUCAAUCCCUUGUCCUCACCUUAGUGGUGUAGCAGCUCUGCUGAAGAGCGCACAUCCUGAUUGGUCUCCUGCUGCUAUUAAAUCUGCAAUCAUGACAACCGCUUACACGUUAAACCUUGCCAAUAGUCCAAUACUAGACGAAAGGCUCCUUCCUGCUGACAUUUUUGCAAUUGGUGCAGGACAUGUUAAUCCAUCGAGGGCAAAUGAUCCAGGACUAGUUUAUGAUACCCCAUUUGAGGACUAUGUACCUUAUUUCUGUGGUUUAAACUACAGCAAUCAAGAGGUAGGUAAAUUAUUACAACGUCAGGUGAAUUGUUUGAAGGUGAAAAGUAUCCCUGAAGCACAAUUAAACUAUCCUUCAUUUUCCAUAUUCAGACUUGGAUCAACUCCUCAAACAUAUACCAGAACGGUGACCAACGUUGGUGAUGCGACAUCAUCUUACAAAGUGGAGGUAGCUUCACCAAAAGGAGUUGUCGUGGAAGUUAAACCCACAGAGCUAAAUUUCUCCGAGUUGAACCAGAAGUUAACAUACCAAGUGACAUUUUCCAAGACAACCAACAACUCAAACUUUGUGAUUGUUGGGGGUUUCUUGAAGUGGACUUCUAAUAGGCACUCAGUGAGAAGUCCAAUUGCAAUUGUGUUAGACAAGUGAUAAAUUGGCUAUAUAAGUGCAUAAGUACUCAGACAUUUGAUUAUAGUGAAAAUGUUGUUUGUUUACACAAUAAACUUUAUGUUACUUUUU